UACGUAGGUGGCGAGCGUUGUCCGGAUUUACUGGGUGUAAAGGGCGCGUAGGCGGGGAUGCAAGUCAGAUGUGAAAUCCAUGGGCUUAACCCAUGAACUGCAUUUGAAACUGUGUCUCUUGAGUGUCGGAGAGGUAGAUGGAAUUCCUAGUGUAGCGGUGAAAUGCGUAGAUAUUAGGAGGAACACCAGUGGCGAAGGCGAUCUACUGGACGAUAACUGACGCUGAGGCGCGAAAGCGUGGGGAGCAAAC
rnacentral:rRNA from 1 species